AAGUCGUAACAAGGUCUCCGUUGGUGAACCAGCGGAGGGAUCAUUACAGAGUUGAAAAACUCCCUAACCCUUUGUUUACAUACCUGUUCAGUUGCUUCGGCAGGCGGCCCCAGGGCGGGGCCUCCAGCCUGCUCACGCAGGUGCCUGCCGCUGGCGCAAAAAAAACUCUUGUUAUAUAUUACCACUCUGAGUCUAAAAACAAAUGAAUCAAAACUUUCAACAACGGAUCUCUUGGUUCUG
rnacentral:misc_RNA from 1 species